UCUCUCUGAGUAGCUUCCCACCAUGUGCACACUCACUGGUCGCGCUUCUUAACCUUUGAGAUAAGGAAAUUUAUAAAAAAAAGGAGUGAUGUUCCUCUAAGCUCAUCUCACGGAUCUUGCCCCUCACUCUCUCUCCUCUCUCUCUCUCUCUCUUCUCUCACACAUUAUUGUGUAUAUAUUGUUCCUGUAGAAACACAAGGAAGUCCUCAGAAAAUGGCUUCUUGGAAGAAAACCAUCACCACCCCAUUUAAGAAAGCCUGCACUUUCUUCAACCAACAACCAAAAGAGAAGAAGUCCCAAGAAGGGCAGGAGAAGAGCGUGGUGGAUCUGCAGGGUGAGGUGAUGGCGUGCGCGUACGAGGAUGUUCAAGUGAUGUGGUCGAUCUUGGACAAGUCCAAGGCUACACAUUGCAACAUGACUUCUUGAUUAGCCUCUCUCUCCCUCUCUCCAAUGCCCCAACCCACCAAAUCGCCCUUAUGUGAAUUUUGUGUAUGUAGUAGUGUUUUCGAGUUAAUCUUGCAAAUCCACAUGUACAUGCUGUGCUUUGUAUUCGCCUUGUGGGUGUGUUCCUGAAAGGGUGGCAAGAUGAACCCAAAUGAAGGAGAAACAAGGACAAAAAACUGAAAAACAGAGAGAGGGAGGGAGGGAGGGAGGGAGGGAGAUGCGCCUCCUUCUAGGCUUCUAGUGCCUGAUUUCGCUGAUGAUUUUUCUUUUCUUCUGGCUGGUUUUGUUGUUGUUGGAGUCAAGUUAGGUGAUUAGGGAAAGAAUCCCCAUGAUUAGUGUGAAGAUCAUGGCGAGAUUUUAAUGGAGAAAUUUAUGUCUUUGAUGCA